rnacentral:rRNA from 1 species
AAAGGAAUAGACGGGGGCCCGCACAAGCGGAGGAACAUGUGGUUUAAUUCGAUGAUACGCGAGGAACCUUACCCGGGCUUGAAAUGAAGAGGAAUACAGGUGAAAGCCUGUAGCCAGCAAUGGUCUCUUUGUAGGUGCUGCAUGGUUGUCGUCAGCUCGUGCCGUGAGGUGUCGGCUUAAGUGCCAUAACGAGCGCAACCCUUUCUGAUAGUUACUAGCAGGUUAAGCUGAGGACUCUAUUGGGACUGCCACCGUAAGGUGUGAGGAAGGUGGGGAUGACGUCAAAUCAGCACGGCCCUUACGUCCGGGGCGACACACGUGUUACAAUGGGGGGUACAGAGGGCUGCUACCUGGCGACAGGAUGCUAAUCUCAUAAAACCCCUCUCAGUUCGGAUCGGAGUCUGCAACCCGACUCCGUGAAGCUGGAUUCGCUAGUAAUCGCGCAUCAGCCAUGGCGCGGUGAAUACGUUCCCGGGCCUUGCACACACCGCCCGU